rnacentral:rRNA from 1 species
GACAGAGGGUGCAAACGUUGCUCGGAAUUACUGGGCGUAAAGCGCGUGUAGGCGGUCUCGCGAGUCGGGUGUGAAAGCCCGGGGCUCAACCCCGGACGUGCAUUCGAUACUACGAGGCUGGAGUACUGUAGAGGAGAGCGGAAUUCCCGGUGUAGAGGUGAAAUUCGUAGAUAUCGGGAGGAACACCAGUGGCGAAGGCGGCUCUCUGGACAGUGACUGACGCUGAGACGCGAAAGCGUGGGGAGCAAACAGG